GUUCAGGGUCUCAUUUUUUCAUUAUGUUAUUUUUUGGAAUUGCAAAUUGCCAUUCAUUACAGAGAAUUAAAGAAUGUGGCAUCACGUGUUCCCAGGCUGUUCACUGUAAAAGUAAACCAGCAUAUGACAUUUUUUUCCUCUUUUGCCGGACUGCUCCUGAUUCUUUAUCACCUCAUGCCCUGGAAAAUAUGAAAAUAUCUACAGUUAUGAAGUGUACAGAGCAAAAUCGAUGUUCACUCUAUUUAAAUGUGAUUGGAACAGUAAUUCUAGAUGAAAAUAUUCGCGGUGUGGAAAUUUGCUCCAUGACAUUGGGCUCCCAACAUAAUCAAUGCAUCCAUGUGAGGAUUACAAAGAACAAACUAAAAAAAUCCCACAAGCAAAAGAUACAUGUUCAGGCUAACUGCUUUGAAGUUGGUGUUUCUGACCAUGUUUAUGUAACGAUGAAAACAGUCCCAUAUUAUUGUAGCAUUGAAUUAACACAGCAGUAUCAGGUGGAAGAUUGUCACAACAAGGAUGUGGGAAACAAUGUAAUAUCAUGUAUAUCUGGGAGACUAGAUUACACGGUCAGUGAGGAAAAUAAAACUAUAACGGUACAUGUUUCAAACUUCCUGGAAGAGUAUGAUUACAAUAUCCGGCUCUGUUUGAAACAUUACAGCUGCCGUGAUAUUGGGGCUCAUGCACUGAUAAAAAGGGAAAACUCUACAAAAUCUGUCAUAUUACCAUAUUCAAAGAUUUUACCUUGUCUGUGCAUUGAGGGAUGGACAGCGCUUCCUGAUUCGAGAAGGACACGGCUUUGCCCCUUUAAGGAUGGUUAAUACAUCUGCCCAAUUGCUGCUUUCUACAAUCUCUGGAUUUUUAUAUUUCAUAGUGACAAUAAUCUAAGUGAUCCUGUGAAUAUCAUCCUACCCGAAUCCCAUCUAUGUGCCUGAUUGGAGUUGUGUUUGUGCUGUUUUGUAUUUAUUUUGUUUGUUUUUUGUUUUUAUGUUUUUUUUUCAGCUUCUUUCUACUGCACAUUGUUGUCCUCUUCACUGUAAAUAGCUGUAAAUAAUAAGAUUUUAGGAAUUUAUACAUUAAAUUAAUACAUUUUUUACAA